CGAGAGUUUUUAACUCAAGUGGCGGACGGGUGAGUAACACGUAAGAAUUUGCCUUUAGGAGGGGGACAAGGAUAACAUCUGAGAAAUACCCCAUAUGCUUUCGAGUGAAAUGGAUUUUUCCGCCUAGAGAGAAGCUUGCGGCUGAUUAGCUUGUUGGUAAGGUAAUGGCUUACCAAGGCGACGAUCAGUAUCUGGUUUGAGAGGACGAUCAGACACACUGGAACUGAGACACGGUCCAG
rnacentral:rRNA from 1 species